CCUAACUCGAUAAACUAAAUGAAGGUUGUAUUAUUUCCAUCACAAUCACGGGCAGACAGUGUGUAGUUACCUUGGUAAUGCCUAGAGCAGGCUGGUAAAGGCGAACGGCCAGGAAGAGCUGUUGUUGGAGUGGGAGGUUGUUUUACUGGAAGCUGUACUUACAGCAACACUGUGGGCCUGAUAAAAAUCGAGCUUGAAAAUGAAUGGAUUCACAGGUUAGCUGUCAAUUCUUCUUCUGUAGUACAGCCCUUAAGAAGCACAUUGAGCUAGAUGAAUAAAAAGCUUGCAGAAUGUUACAUUAACUGCUGCUGGUGACGACUUUUACUGCUUUUUUAAUGAAUUAUGGAGGUCGCAGAAAGCCACAGUGGAAAUGAAAUAAAAUUCCACUGAAUAAUGUACCUGGCAUUGCAGGAAUAAAAUAAAUGUAUUGAAAAGGGUCACAUGUGCUAUCUUUGGCAUUAGAAUACAUCAGAAAAAAAACCUAACCCGAUGAAGCUUUACAGCAUUUUAGAGACGAAAGUUCACAGUUAAUACUAAGCGUGAAAUUAAUGAGGCCACUUGCCAGCUGUGUCAAACUCAGGAGACAAGCUAGGUUAAACGGCGAUACAGUAAAGAGGCAGCAACAACCCAAUGCAACUGCACAGUAAAGCAUCAAGUCUCACAUGUCAGGCAAAACCCCCCAAACAUCACCGAGGACAACUCCACGGCCAUAAACUCCACCUGUGCUCAACACAACAUCCAAUAGUAGAACCAGGAAAACAGGACAUAAUUACAAAUCCAAGUUCAAGGACUGAAAGCAAGCAAAAACAGGGGAGCAUGUGCAUCCUGCAUGACAAGGAGGACCUGUCCCGACUGGAGAUGGUCCAGAGACUGGCCAAGGAUGGCUACCGCUUCCUGCAGAACCACAGCAAGGGCCCAGAGAGGACGAGCGAGAGUGACGAGGCAGUCCGUGUGUGCCUGAGGGAGAGGGGCCACGAUGUGCUGGUCCUACAGAGAAUGUCGUCAGAGCAGCCGGCCCCCUCUGCAUCAGCGAGGGGAGGAGGGAAAGAGGAGGCGAGGAACAGGAGGUAAGCCUCUGCCCUCCCCUUCUUCCUAGGUUCCCUCCCUCCCUCCCUCCCCCUCCCUCCCUCACUAUCUGCUUCUUUCUCUCAGCACUCUCCCUCUCAUCAUUCUCCCUUCUCUGUCUCUCUGGAUAACACU
rnacentral:lncRNA from 1 species